AAAUAGAUACCCGGGUAGUCCACGCUGUAAACGAUGAGCACUAGGUGUCGCGGGUAUUGACCCCUGCGGUGCCGUCGCUAACGCAUUAAGUGCUCCGCCUGGGGACUACGGCCGCAAGGCUAAAACUCAGAGGAAUUGACGGGGGCCCGCACAAGCGGUGGAGCAUGUGGUUCAAUUCGACGCAACGCGAAGAACCUUACCUGGGCUAGACAACGGAGGACCGCCUCGGAGACGAGGUUUUCCCUUCGGGGACUUCCGGUUCAGGUGCUGCAUGGCUGUCGUCAGCUCGUGUCGUGAGAUGUUGGGUUAAGUCCCGCAACGAGCGCAACCCUUGCCCCUAGUUGCCAUCACUUCAGUUGGGCACUCUAGGGGGACUGCCCGCGUCAAGCGGGAGGAAGGUGGGGAUGACGUCAAGUCCUCAUGGCCCUUAUGUCCAGGGCUACACACGUGCUACAAUGGGCGGUACAAAGGGCAGCGAACCCGCGAGGGGAAGCCAAUCCCAAAAAGCCGUCCUCAGUUCGGAUCGGAGUCUGCAACUCGACUCCGUGAAGGUG
rnacentral:rRNA from 1 species